rnacentral:lncRNA from 1 species
GGAACAAACCAGCUAAUUCCCUUUAGCAACAUACAGAGUACAAGGAGCAAGGUGGAGCUAAGUUAUGGUGGCUUAUUUCUAGAAGUGGGAAGGGAAUGAGAAUUUGUAUGGCACUCACUCUGUGCUAGAAACCAAGGGGUUUGUGCUUUACUGGCCCUGGAGAGUUCCUAGGUUCAAGAGGGAAUCAAGGAAAUCAGCGUACCUGCGCAGCCUGGGAUUAGAGCUCAUUCCCUCUAGUGCUCUCCUCAAACCUUUAUCUUCUCUCUGAUCCAAUAAUGAGAACUGUGUUUUGAAGGAAGACCCUGAAGUCAGGAGAAGGAAAUAAGGAGGGAGAGAAUCCCAGGCGUGGGAGAAGAGCCAGUGACAAUGAACAUUUGGGAGAUUGUUAUCAUGUUUGAGGAUCAGUAAGGAGGCCAGAGUAACUGACUGUAAGUAUCUGGAGCAUAGUUAGGUGUAAGAAGACUGGGAGAGUGGGAAGGGACCAAGUCAUAAAGGGCAUUAAAAACCAAAGACAUUAUAUGAAAUCAUAGAAGUAACAGGGAGCCUCUGGAGUGGCUGAUGGAUUGGCAUGGAGGAUUGAGAGGGUCAGGCUUGUGCUUAAGAAAGAGAUUUUUCAUCUGAAUGGAGGAUGGACUAGAGAGGAGAGACAUGAAACAGAAAGAUCUGAAAGGCUAUUGAAAUAGUCCAAAAUGAGGUAGUGAAGGCCUGAGCCAUAGUGGUGGCAGUCAGAGGAGGAAAGAGGGGUGUUACAAAGGUAG